GUGCUUGCACAGGCAGCACAUCUAAUAAAUUGGAUUCGAUACAGAGAAGAUUAGCAUGGCCCCUGCGAAAGGAUGACACGCUUAAAAGGUGAUGUCAUGUAAAUGUUC